GUGCCAGUUACAGACUUAGGAUGGUGUGACUGAAGCAUGUCCUGGCCAAGGAGAAACUCUGGGCCCUUAUUUGUUUUACGGCCAGGUUAUGGUUUAGGAAAACCUCCAGGCCCUUUGUAAGGGAAACCCGGUGGGGUGCAAGGCAAGCUGCUGCCAGUCUACCUGUCCUUGAUGGUUUAAUCCUGCUUUGAGGAGCAGAGAGAGGAACCCGGUCCAUUACACUGCAUCUGGUUCUAGAAUAGACGGCAACCUGAGAAAGUCACUUUAGAAUGUUAUGCACCGAAGGUGACUCACAUCAACACAUCAAUAAUGAGAGGUACUCCAGAUAUAACAAACUGACCCUAGCCCCCGACAUAUUAACUACUGGAGGCUGAGACAGGAGGGGUCAGGAGACACUGUGGCCCCAUCCGAGGACACCCCCAGACAGGGCCAAACAGGAAGGAUAUAACCCCACCCACUUUGCCAAAGCACAGCCCCCACACCACUAGAGGGAUAUCUUCAACCACCAACUUACCAUCCUGAGACAAGG
ensembl:lncRNA